UACGGAGGGUGCGAGCGUUAAUCGGAAUUACUGGGCGUAAAGCGCGCGUAGGCGGAUCGUUAAGUCGGGGGUGAAAUCCUGGAGCUCAACUCCAGAACUGCCUUUGAUACUGGCGAUCUUGAGUCCGGGAGAGGUGAGUGGAACUCCGAGUGUAGAGGUGAAAUUCGUAGAUAUUCGGAAGAACACCAGUGGCGAAGGCGGCUCACUGGCCCGGUACUGACGCUGAGGUGCGAAAGCGUGGGGAGCAAACAGG
rnacentral:rRNA from 1 species